UUGCCGAUGAUGGUUAAGAAUUUCUUCACCUGAAUACAUCAUGUGGUCGUGUUUUUUCUGAGGCAAA
rnacentral:snoRNA from 1 species